rnacentral:rRNA from 1 species
ACUCCUACGGGAGGCAGCAGUGGGGAAUAUUGCACAAUGGGCGCAAGCCUGAUGCAGCCAUGCCGCGUGUGUGAAGAAGGCCUUCGGGUUGUAAAGUACUUUCAGCAGUGAGGAAGGCAGGUACGUUAAUAGCGUGCUUGUUUGACGUUAGCUGCAGAAGAAGCACCGGCUAACUCCGUGCCAGCAGCCGCGGUAAUACGGAGGGUGCGAGCGUUAAUCGGAAUUACUGGGCGUAAAGCGCAUGCAGGUGGUUUGUUAAGUCAGAUGUGAAAGCCCGGGGCUCAACCUCGGAAUUGCAUUUGAAACUGGCAGACUAGAGUACUGUAGAGGGGGGUAGAAUUUCAGGUGUAGCGGUGAAAUGCGUAGAGAUCUGAAGGAAUACCGGUGGCGAAGGCGGCCCCCUGGACAGAUACUGACACUCAGAUGCGAAAG